GGGGGCGGGACGUAGAGGGGCGGGGCGGGAUCGCUUCCCAGUAAUAAGUACUGGCGGGCUUCUGUGAGAACCGGGAAGUAACGACUCGGAGAUGGAAUUGUUCAGAGCGGAGACUAGUAGGAAAUUGGGAUUCCAAUUCGACUCCUGAACUCAUACCAUUACUUCCUAACUGGGUCAAAUUAAUCAAACUCUGUAAGCUUUACUUUCCUCUACAAUAUGUUUAGAAAAUUAAAUGAGUAUUUAGGGAAAGUGUUUAGCAUGGGCCUGGCUCGUGGAAAUCCCUUAAUAACAGUUAGCUAUAAUGUGAGUUGUGACUACAAGUGCCCCUCAAAGCCAUGUGAGAUAUCCAAAUUUUAGUGAGUUUACCACUUUAAAUAUCUCAGGAGACAAAAGAAUUCAAGGUGCUAUCAAGCACAAAGUUCUUUGCUGGUUCGAAAAUAUAUUUACCCGCCUAUUUAAGUAUUCUUGGCUAAAAAAGAAGAGUUGAACCUGAAUCUGCCACCAGAAAUAUAGGAAUAAAGGAAAAUUGUAAAGGGUUCAUACCAUUUGAAAGCAAUCAGCCUAAUCCAGAAUGUGGGAAAUUAUAGAAAACAAUCUGGUUUCUUCAACAAAUCAAUGUCUUUAACGGGGUGGGAGAUUGCAAUAGAUUAAAAGAUUUUAGAGAUAUAUCAACCAAAUAUAGCCUCAUUAUGAUUCUGACUGGACAAAAAAAGACCUUUUUGAGACACGGAGGAAUAAGAGCUGGACAGUACUAGAUGGUACCAGAUGUUUAGCAAACCUCACUUGUGUCAUCUCACUGAUGUUAUCCAUGUUCUCCAAGACAAAAGUGGCCGGACAGGAUUGUCAGCUACAGGAUCUUAAAUGGUAGCUCAUCCACCAGUAGCCAAGAAGGAUGCUUGUAAUGAUGAACUACCACUGUGCUGGAGCAUGAGCAGUAAGACGGCAAAAACAGAAGGCAACGAGAGCAAGAGGACACUUUCUAAAAAGACAACUAUCACUUCAAACAAUAAAGGCACAGCUCCACAAAACAUUUAUUCAGCAAAGUAACUAUACUCCGUGCCAACAGCACAUACUGACAUCGCAACAAACAAUUCUGCAAAGAUCAUCCCUAAUGAACAAGGAAUACUAGCCCCACCGGGGAGGUGGGAAUUCACUCUGACUGGGAGGGCUCCACAGAGGUAGCUGCUUACCCCGGUCUUAAUAGAUGAGGAGGAUUUUACUGGAUAGAUCAAGGAGAAAGCAGAUGUAGGGAGAGGAAAUAGCAUGUGUGGAAGUCCAGAUUCUAAAACAGAAAGAUGUGUCCAAGGACCCUCGACCAGGACUAUGUGGCUGCAUGUGGCUGCAGUGACGUGAGAGAAGCUGGGGUGAGCCUGGGAAGAGUGGCUGGGGUCAGGUCCUGAAGAACCCUGAUGCUCUAUGUUGUACAAGAAUUUAUCUGGUUCUUGCCUCUGGUUCUUCCUCAGAGGUAAAUGCCAAAUCCUUGACAUUUCCUGAGUGAUUCUUUGUUAUUCAUGGUGGGUCCCUGACCACACCUGAGUUUGUGCUAAUGCGAUGACUCAGGAUGUGGACCAGCCAUGCUGGAAAGACCAACCAUGUGAUUAGAGGGUUGGGGCUUUGAGCCAGCCGACCUUUAGGGCGUGGAGGGGGGCUGGAGACUGAGUUUAAUCACGUGGCCAAUAAUUCAAUCAAUCAUGCCUACGUAAUAAAACUCCAAUAAAAUUCGAGACACAAAGGCUCCAGUGAGCUUCCUGGUUGGUGAACACAUCAAUGUGCCAGGAGGAUGGUGCAUCUUGAUUCCACAGGGUAAGUGCACAGAAGCUCUACAUUCAGGAUGCUUCCGGACCUGGCCCUGUGUGUCUCUUCAUUGGGUUGGUCCUGAUUUAUACCCUUUAUAAUAAAACUAUAAUCCUAAGCAUAGCACUUUCCUGAGAAUUCUGUGAGUUGUUGUAGCAGAUUAUCAUACCUUAGGCGGUUGAGGAAAUCCCUGAAUUUGUAGCCAGCUGGUCAUGAGUGCAGGUAGCCUGGGGACCCCUGAACUUACAG
ensembl:lncRNA